AGCCCCGGUCAUUUGGCUUUUUCAGGGGGCGUUCCUCCUUGCAUGCUGUGUCUGCCUCGGAUCUCACAUGACCCCUGCAAAGCAAAUGAGACCCAGACUUUUGACCUGACUCACUCAGAUCUCUGUGGCUACCAUCAUAGCACGGCUCCUCCAAUACUGACAUACAGGAUUUCUCUGUGUACCCAUGGCUGUCCUAGAACUCACUCUACAGAUCAGGCUGGCCGCAACCUGACAGAGAUCUGACUAGCUCUGCCUCUCAAGUGCCGAUUUAAGGUUCUUCCAAAGCUAGCAAUUUCUAUUGAUGUCACAUCAAAUGUCAAUCAUGAGUGACCACAUCUCACACUCUCAGAAUCCAGUGGCUUCUGUGUAAGAUGGUGCAGGAGGAGAUUUGCCUGGAGGAGGAAAGAAUCUCGGGGUGAUCAAGACUAGAUCAGGUGCAGGAUAGGAGAAGGUUGGCAGGUCAAAAGGCAAUCUCCUUUAUCAUAAGAGAAUGCUUGGUUGCAGUUGAAAUGGAUGGAGGUAAGAGACAAGAACACAGAUCUUGGCUGCUGGAGGCACUGCCAUGCAGGGCAUCUAUGCAGAUGGCCAUGGAGACAGAGUGCUAGCUGUGGUGUCUGAUGGCCAGUGUUUGUGUCGUUCUCCAGCAUGGACCAGCAGUGUGACACAGUGGUGGAGGGACAGUUCCUUCAGUCUUCCUGGUCUCAGUAUUCCUCUCCAGAAAGUAAGGUUGCUGACCAACCACACCUACCUCGUAGCACAUGUGGAAGGGUCAGCGGGUUAAGCACAUUGCCACUUAAAUUAGCCUUCUGCAGUGAUGGCAGGCCAGGGAAUGUUUUCCUCUGCUGACUUACUCUCUGUUAUGAAUUAGGGGGGAGUGGUACCACAAGUGACAGCAGGAUCAAUUGUGGACACCAUGUUUCUAGUUUACAUGCUCAAAAAAAAAAAAGCUAGCUUACCUCAGGCCAUAGAAAGCAAACUGUGCCCUCUCAAACUCUCAAUCUUUUAA